CCUACGGGAGGCAGCAGUGGGGAAUAUUGGACAAUGGGGGCAACCCUGAUCCAGCCAUGCCGCGUGUGUGAAGAAGGCCCUCGGGUUGUAAAGCACUUUCAGUGAGGAAGAACGCCUGGUGGUUAAUACCCAUCAGGAAAGACAUCACUCACAGAAGAAGCACCGGCUAACUCCGUGCCAGCCGCCGCGGUAAUACGGAGGGUGCGAGCGUUAAUCGGAAUUACUGGGCGUAAAGCGCGCGUAGGUGGCUUGAUAAGCCGGUUGUGAAAGCCCCGGGCUCAACCUGGGAACGGCAUCCGGAACUGUCAAGCUAGAGUGCAGGAGAGGAAGGUAGAAUUCCCGGUGUAGCGGUGAAAUGCGUAGAGAUCGGGAGGAAUACCAGUGGCGAAGGCGGCCUUCUGGACUGACACUGACACUGAGGUGCGAAAGCGUGGGUAGCAAACAGGAUUAGAUACCCUAGUAGUC
rnacentral:rRNA from 1 species